ACGCUCGACACCUACGGUAGGCAGCAGUGGGGAAUAUUGGGCAAUGGAGGAAACUCUGACCCAGCAACGCCGCGUGAAUGAUGAAGGUCUUUGGAUUGUAAAGUUCUUUUCUAAGGGACGAAGAAAGUGACGGUACCUUAGGAAUAAGCCUCGGCUAACUACGUGCCAACAGCCGCGGUAAUCUGAGCGGGCUGGCAAGGC
rnacentral:rRNA from 1 species